rnacentral:tRNA from 1 species
GAUUGUAGCUCAGUGGUAGAGCUCUUGCCUCCCAUGUGUGAGGCACUGGGUUCCAUCCUCAGCACAACA